CAAUAAAAAGGGGGCAGGGGGCCAUUUUGUCACGUGCAGUCCAGGAUUCUUUGGUUUUCAUCAUUUUUUCUUUGGUUUUUCUUAGAAAAGCCAUUAUUUACGGAGAUUCAACUGUCCAAACUCAAAUCUGACUUCGAAAACGUGAUAUACUCGUAUUGUGCUACUUGGGGCUUGCUUGUGGUUCCCCAAAUUUCAUAUCUUAUUUGGGUGAAUUUUAUGAUACAUUGCAAGGUGGCGUCUAGGAGACCUAAGCUUGAUAUCCGCGCAGCCAGCCCAGGAAAUAUGUCUUUAGACGACUCUCCUCCCUGAGUCAGGCAAAGAACUGAAGAGUCAGUUGCUAACAGGUUGCACCGCACACAAUCAAGAUAGGUCCUAUCAGAGCAGAAUCUUCUCCCCGCAGAUUUGAGAGAUCCAGUUAUGCUCCUCAUCGCUUAGAUGCUACUGGAGAACAACUGGGAGUAUCUGUACAACUGUGCCUGCCUGGCCUUUCAUAUACUGGUACGGGAGUUCUAUGGCAACAUGAUCAUCAUCCAGGAGGAUGACAGAGGACUCAUUAUGCAAACCAUGGUCAGAGGACAGCCGAUUCAGAUUGAUCCACAGCUUAUCAGUGAUGUGAUCAGAAUUCCAAUGUUACCAGUCUCUGGAGUUCCUUUUCCUGAUGAGGCUCCCAGCAUUGAUUUCCUGCAUAAUUUCUUUGGGACGAGACCACAGAGAGAAGACAAGUCCCACUCCCAAAUCAACAUCUGUGCUUUUGCUCCUAUGCACUGAUUUUUAGCAAAGGUUGUAGUGACAAACCUUUAGCCUCAAGCUCGUCGGAGUGAGCUUACUCUCAAAAAGGCCACCCUUCUUUAUGCCAUAGUGAUGCAGACUCCUUUUUGUUUGUGCAAGCACAUCUUGCACACCAUGCUCGAGGUUCGAGACGAGAAGAACACGAGUCUAUCUUUUGGGUGUUUAAUCACUCAAAUUUGUCUUCAGGUUGUGACAGAUAUUUCAGACUCUGAGCCCAGAUCAUGGAUUCCAGAUCCUUUUAGCAUUCAAACCCUCAUGAAGUCGAAUGCGUAGUUGCGGCAUGAGGCUCAAGGCGGUGUUCCUCAACCUCCACCAAUUCCCCCACCAGCAUCAUCAACACAGGUUAUUCCCCCUACUUUUGAUAUAGAGGCUGCAUUUACUCAGCUUAUGUCAUCCAUGGGAGCUCUCCAGCGUGAAGUUAAUCUUAUUGGAGAGCGUGUUGAACAAUGUCAGAUUGACAUCAGGGAGUGCCUGCAGUGCCAUCACCCGAAGCCUGAUGAUGAGGACUAAUUUUUUGAUGUUUGUAUUCGAGCAAUUUUAAAUUCGUACUGACAUUGUGUAUAACUUAUUAAACACUUAUGGUUUUAACUAAUACUCUAUUUACCCUUUAUCACUGUGUGACAAAAAGGUGGAGUAUUUUUUGGGUUUAUUUUGGUAUUUAGACCGGGAAUAUAUUUCCAAACCGGUCAAGUGUUUUUGUCCCAGAAUGGCCAAAGGGGGAGUUUGUUAGUAUUUUAAAUUGGCUACAUUCUGGAUAACCAAAAAUACUUUAUGUAAUGGUUGCAUUUUUAACAGGAUGAUCAGUGUUUAUUC